CCGAGUUUACAACUCCCAAACCCAAUGUGAACGUUACCAAACUGUUGCCUCGGCGGGGUCACGCCCCGGGUGCGUAAAAGCCCCGGAACCAGGCGCCCGCCGGAGGAACCAACCAAACUCUUUCUGUAGUCCCCUCGCGGACGUAUUUCCUACAGCUCUGAGCAAAAAUUCAAAAUGAAUCA
rnacentral:misc_RNA from 1 species